rnacentral:lncRNA from 1 species
GUGCAAAGGCAGAGGCUGUGGGAGCAGCAUCAAGCAAGACUUCGGGCAGUGAUUCUAACUAUUGCCUAUGAACACCGUGGCUGGGACGACUUUGACGAGGCAAUUUAUUACUUACGCAUAGAACACUGGCUGUGCUGAAACUGGGAGCGCAAACAGCCCCUUGUUUUCUAAUUUAGAGACUUGCAUCUUUUCGACACUCAACAGUAUCAAGACACUCUGCUACUACAGAUUGAUUUCCACCAUCAACACCUUUACCUCUUCCCGCCUGAAAAUAAAAUAUGAAAUAUAACAAGUAAAUCGCAAUCUACCUUGAAUCUUCUGGAGAGGAAAGAAGAAACCAUGUCUAGACAAGGUGCUGGAAAGACCCAGGGAAGACACAGAUGGGAUCAUCCAGUUGCUGGAAAACAAACUCAGGUCUCCCACUGGUUCUACAUUAUGAUACCCAGUAGUGGAAUUGCUGGAUCAAAUGAUAGUUCAACUUUUACUUCUUUGAGAUAUCUUCAAACUGUUUUUCAUAGAGGUUGUACUAAUUUACAUUUCCACCAACAGUGUGAAACGGCCCCUCUUUGUUUCACUCUUGGCUCUAUGGAAAUGGUCUUUGUAUGAAAUCUGGAAUCCAUUCCCAGUAUAAAGGCAAGCUGACUGGCACCAAGUCUAUGAAGCUGAACAUUUAUUCAGUAUACUUAGCCAAAACAACUCACUUAUCAGGGAAAAACAAUCAUCUGGGACUGCAAAUUGGUUUUCCAUGUUGAUUAUAGUGACAUUAAGUAGAAAUGACUUCAGUUUCCAUGUUUAAUUGUUAUCUAGUCCCCUCCUGAUCAUAAGUAGAAAUUAUACCAACUCUUAUUCAAAUAUCAAGAAAAAGCUUUUUAGAAAUUAUUAAAGGAAGUGUCUACAAGUACACAAGUAUAUACAAUCAAAAAAGACAAAAAAUUACAUUUGGACAUUGCUAUUUGACCUAUUUUCUUCAUCUAAAUGGUACCCAAUAGAAAAAUGUAAAUUUAUGCUUCAAGAUAAUAUGGAGGGCU